CGUGCCAGCAGCCGCGGUAAUACGUAGGGUGCAAGCGUUGUCCGGAAUUAUUGGGCGUAAAGAGCUCGUAGGCGGUUUGUCACGUCUGCUGUGAAAAUCCAAGGCUCAACCUUGGACUUGCAGUGGGUACGGGCAAGCUAGAGUGCGGUAGGGGAGAUGGGAAUUCCUGGUGUAGCGGUGGAAUGCGCAGAUAUCAGGAGGAACACCAAUGGCGAAGGCACAUCUCUGGGCCGUAACUGACGCUGAGGAGCGAAAGCGUGGGGAGCGAACAGGAUUAGAUACCCUGGUAGUCCACGCCGUAAACGGUGGGUGCUAGCUGUGGGCCCCAUUCCACGUGGUCCGUGACGAAGUUAACACAUUAAGCACCCCGCCUGGGGAGUACGGCCGCAAGGCUAAAACU
rnacentral:rRNA from 1 species